GGGAACGUAGCUCAGUGGUAGAGUGCAUGCUUUGCAAGCAUGAGGCCCUGGGUUCGAUUCCUCAGCACCA
rnacentral:tRNA from 1 species